CAGCAGCCGCCACGGGAAUACCGAGGGUGCAAGCGUUAAUCGGAAUUACUGGGCGUAAAGCGCGCGUAGGUGGUUUGUUAAGUUGGAUGUGAAAGCCCCGGGCUCAACCUGGGAACUGCAUCCAAAACUGGCAAGCUAGAGUACGGUAGAGGGUGGUGGAAUUUCCUGUGUAGCGGUGAAAUGCGUAGAUAUAGGAAGGAACACCAGUGGCGAAGGCGACCACCUGGACUGAUACUGACACUGAGGUGCGAAAGCGUGGGGAGCAAACAGGAUUAGAUACCCCUGUAGUCCCUGUCUCUUU
rnacentral:rRNA from 1 species